GAUCUGGAGAGAAGAGGCUGAAAAUCAGCUCCUCAAAAAGAGAUCUGGACUUUCUGGUUGAUGUCAGGUUGAAUCUGAGUCAGCAGCGUGCCCUGGCCCAUUCCCUGGUGUACAUCGGGCCCAGCGCUGCUAGCAGAAUAGGGAAGGGAUUGUCCCACUCUUCUCUGUGCUGCUCCAGCUUCACCUCAAGUCUUGUUUUCACUUUUGACAUCAAUGAUGCGAAGACAUAAAACUAUUCUCUAGUGUACUGAGGAGGGAUACAAAGAAGAUGGAAGCUACGAGGGAACUUCCUUGGAUUGUUCUGCCAAGCGGAGACUGAGGGCAUCCCUCAUGCCCGCCUACGUCUCCUCACAGGGGAGAGGAAGGGCAGCUCUGCUGUCUGGUGACAGGAACAGCUCCUGUGGGAAUAGCAUGGAGCUGUGUGAGUGUAGGGUCAAGUGGGGGGUCAGGGAAAGGUUUUGCACCAGUGGGUAGUGAGCACAGAACAAGCUUCCCAGGGCAGUGCACAAGCACUAAGGCUGCCGGAGUUCAAGAAGCAUUUGGACAAUCCUUUCAGAUCUACCGUUUAAUUUUGAAGGAGUGCAGUGUGGAGGCAUGAGUUGGACUCAGUUAUCCUUGUGGGUCCCUUCCUACAUCGGUGGGUAUUCUCUGAUUCCCCUGCAUUUGUUCCCUCCCUGAGCUCAUUGCAGCUCAUUAGCCAGCCUUCCGCUCUUGUCUCUCCUUCUGGGUGCGCUACAUGGCUGGCUGGAUGCCCCUUGAUGUUGGAAUGUUGUAGGUGGGAGCAAGGAGGCUGCCUGUUUUGUGCCGUGCCUGCCUGGGGCCCUCCUUGCAGCUGUCCAAGCCGGCAGGGGAGGGCUGUUUGUGAGAGCAGGAUGCUGUCCGCUCACGCGUGGUGCUGGUCUAGCGAGCUCUGUGAUGCUGUAUGAGAAGAGCCUCAGUGUGCCCCAAUCUUUGGGUAGGUGUAGAUCAUUUAUUAUGAGGUGAAGACCGUCUGCAAGACACCAGUGCACUUGUUGGUGACAUGGUUGCAAGAGGAGGUCUCGGGACCCUUUUGUACCAGACAGGAUGGUUUCUAGAGCCAUGUCUUUAUAGUGGGUGAAGUGGGAAGCGCAGUGUAGUGGUGAAGGAAGGAAGAGGAGGACUCUGUGGGUGACGUGCAUGAGAUCUUUAUUGAUGAAAACACGCUUAAAGUCAGGAUGCACUUGGGGAUCACCAAGUGGACAGGCCAGAAUUUAAGGUGCAAAGAAAGGAGAAAUCUGCAGUGCUGAUGUUUCCAGACAGCGUGGUGUGACGCUGCUCCCUGCUUGCGAGUUUUGUUCUGUGAGAAGAGGAGCCAUGGCUGGUGAGCCCAUGUGCCAUCAGUGACAGAGAGAUGAGAGCUCAGUGCAUGAGGCGCCUUGCAGGGUGCAGGAGGUUGCUGUGAGGGUGUGGGCGCAGGCCCUUAGCAGGGGUAGCGGGCUCUCCAGCCGUUGAAGCAGCCCAGGCCUCCGAAGCCGAA